GGGCGUUUAGCUCAGUUGGCUAGAGCACUUCCCUUACAAGGAAGAUGUCGGGGGUUCGAGUCCCUCAACGCCCA
rnacentral:tRNA from 1 species